UGCAUGGUGACCUUGGUGUACUUGGACAUGUCGAUAGUGGCACGACUGCCUGCCUCGAGUGGGAAGUAGAAGGGGUAGAUCUCGUAGCGCGCCCAACAGCUGCUGUAAUCAAUCUGGCAUCCUUGAGCGCUGUUGCAAGUUUUGUCAAACUUGGACACUAUCUCCGAUAGGCACCGUGCGCACGCUGGCGGCGCUAGGUCUCGCGUGCACUGUGCUAACGCGUAAACACUCACAAACGGCGUGUACUGCUCCUUCGCCCUGCCUAGCCCACUCCUACCCACUGCAACAGCUUGUGCUGUCGCCUUUCCCAUAGCUUUCCCCGCUGCCUUCUGGAAUGCCUUGGGGUUGUCCAUGUUCUGCCAAUUUAUCAUGGUCACGCUUGCAUCCUCCCUCGUAUCCACUUCCCCGAUGAAGUCGUAGUUGUAGUACCGCAUGAAGCAGUAUUCCAUACCAUAUUCUGGAGUCUGAUGUGUAGUUGCAGUUGGAGACAAUCUGCUUGGCGGCUUGAGCGAGGCAGGCGUCGCAGUCGCCGCCGGAGACGUCGCCGCGGCACUGCGCGAGGCCGUAGAAGGCGUCGUACCCCCUGCCGGCUCUGGAGGUGGCGAAUCCGCCGCCGGUGCGCGCCUUGGCGACGAGGUCGGAGACGACGAAGUUGACGCUGCGCCGCCUGACGACGGCCUCGCUGCUGUUGAGAUCGCCGUAGUUCAUCCCGGACUCCGAGCAGAAGCUGCCGAUGGGAUACGUCGUCGCCGCCAUGCCCAGUGGGAGCAAUGCAGCGGCCAA
rnacentral:sRNA from 1 species